UCCCGGCACGGGGAGGUAGUGACGAAAAAUAACGAUACGGGACUCAUCCGAGGCCCCGUGAUCGGAAUGGGCACACUUUAAAUCCUUUAACGAGGAUCAAUUGGAGGGCAAGUCUGGUGCCAGCAGCCGCGGUAAUUCCAGCUCCAAUAGCGUAUAUUAAAGUUGCUGCGGUUAAAAAGCUCGUAGUCGAAAUUGUGUCCUCGGCCGCCGGUUCGUCGCUCGCGACGCCAACUGGCGCGCACGUUGGACGUCCAGCCGGUACUACGAACUCGCCUACGGGGUGCUCUUAACCGAGUGUCCAGGCGGGGGCCGGCAACGUUACUUUGAACAAAUUAAAGUGCUUAAAGCAGGCUAAAUUGCGCUCGCAUACACGCGCAUGGAAUAAUCGAAUAGGACCUCCGUUCUAUUUUGUUGGGUUUUUGUGGAACGACAGACGGAGGUAAUGAUCAAUGGGUGCGGAUGGGGGCAUUCGUAUUGCGACGUUAGAGGUGAAAUUCUUGGAUCGUCGCAAGACGGACUUAAGCGAAAGCAUUUGCCAAAAACGCUUUCAUCGAUCAAGAACGAAAGUUAGAGGUUCGAAGGCGAUCAGAUACCGCCCUAGUUCUAACCAUAAACUAUGCCAGCUAGCGAUCCGCSGACGUUACUUCUAUGACUCGGCGGGCAGCUUCCGGGAAACCAAAGCUUUCGGGUUCCGGGGGAAGUAUGGUUGCAAAGCUGAAACUUAAAGGAAUUGACGGAAGGGCACCACCAGGAGUGGAGCCUGCGGCUUAAUUUGACUCAACACGGGAAACCUCACCAGGCCCGGACACCGGAAGGAUUGACAGAUUGAGAGCUCUUUCUUGAUUCGGUGGGUGGUGGUGCAUGGCCGU
rnacentral:rRNA from 1 species